AUACGUAGGGGGCGAGCGUUGUCCGGAAUGAUUGGGCGUAAAGGGCGCGUAGGCGGCCCGGUAAGUCUGGAGUGAAAGUCCUGUUUUUAAGAUGGGAAUUGCUUUGGAUACUGUCGGGCUUGAGUGCAGGAGAGGUAAGUGGAAUUCCCAGUGUAGCGGUGAAAUGCGUAGAGAUUGGGAGGAACACCAGUGGCGAAGGCGGUCAACUGGACGAUAACUGACGCUGAGGCGCGAAAGCGUGGGGAGCAAACAGGAUUAGAUACCCUGGUAGUCCACGCGGUAAACGAUGAAUACUAGGUGUCGGGUGGCAACAGCCAUUCGGUGCCGCAGCAAACGCAAUAAGUAUUCCACCUGGGGAGUACGUUCGCAAGAAUGAAACUCAAAGGAAUUGGCGGGG
rnacentral:rRNA from 1 species